rnacentral:tRNA from 1 species
GCAGUGGUGGUUCAGCGGAAAAAUUCUCGCCUUCCAAGAGGGAGACCCAGGUUUGAUCCUGGCCAAUGCA